rnacentral:rRNA from 1 species
AUUGAACGCUGGCGGCAGGCCUAACACAUGCAAGUCGAGCGGCAGCGGAAGGAAGCUUGCUUCCUUGCCGGCGAGCGGUGGACGGGUGAGUAAGGUAUGGGGAUCUGGCCGAAGGCGGGGGAUAACCACUGGAAACGGUGGCUAAUACCGCAUAAUCUCUAAGGAGCAAAGUGGGGGACCGUUCAGGCCUCACACCUUCGGAUGAACCCAUAUGAGAUUAGCUAGUAGGUGGGGUAAUGGCCCACCUAGGCGACGAUCUCUAGCUGGUCUGAGAGGAUGAUCAGCCACACUGGGAAUGAGACACGGCCCAGACCCCUACGGGAGGCAGCAGUGGGGAAUAUUGCACAAUGGGCGCAAGCCUGAUGCAGCCAUGCCGCGUGUAUGAAGAAGGCCUUCGGGUUGUAAAGUACUUUCAGUCGUGAGGAAGGUGUUAAGGUUAAUAACCUCAGCAAUUGACGUUAGCGACAGAAGAAGCACCGGCUAACUCCGUGCCAGCCGCCGCCGUAA